UCAAGUGAAGAAGCGCAUACGGUGGAUGCCUUGGCAGUCAGAGGCGAUGAAAGACGUGGUAGCCUGCGAAAAGCUUCGGGGAGUCGGCAAACAGACUUUGAUCCGGAGAUCUCUGAAUGGGGGAACCCACCUAGGAUAACCUAGGUAUCUUGUACUGAAUCCAUAGGUGCAAGAGGCGAACCAGGGGAACUGAAACAUCUAAGUACCCUGAGGAAAAGAAAUCAACCGAGAUUCCCUUAGUAGUGGCGAGCGAACGGGGAUUAGCCCUUAAGCUUCAUUGAUUUUAGCGGAACGCUCUGGAAAGUGCGGCCAUAGUGGGUGAUAGCCCCGUACGCGAAAGGAUCUUUGAAGUGAAAUCGAGUAGGACGGAGCACGAGAAACUUUGUCUGAACAUGGGGUGUAGUGGUCUACUGAUCCCGGACACCGAUUUAGGCGAAAAUCCUCGCCGUGAGAGAGGUGUCUGAUGAGCAAGCAACGACGUACGUUUUCCGCCGAGUUCAAACGAGAGGCCGCGGCCCUGGUGUUGGACCAAGGCUACAGCUAUAUCGACGCCUGCCGUUCGCUGGGGGUGGUGGAUUCGGCCUUGCGCCGUUGGGUGAAGCAGCUCGAGGCGGAGCGCCAGGGUGUGACCCCGAAGAGCAAGGCGUUGACGCCUGAGCAGCAAAAGAUCCAGGAGCUGGAAGCCCGGAUCAACCGGUUGGAGCGGGAGAAAGCGAUAUUAAAAAAGGCUACCGCUCUCUUGAUGUCGGACGAACUCGAUCGUACGCGCUGAUAGACCAGUUGAGUGAGCAGGAGUCGGUGGAAGUGGUCUGUUCAGCUUUCGAUGUGGCGCGGUCUUGCUACUACGUCCACCGUCUUCGACGGCGGCGUGUCGAUGCUCGCCGCGUGGCGCUACGCAGCCAAGUCAACCAGUUGUUCAGCCAGAGUCGGGGCUCGGCCGGCAGCCGCAGCAUUCUGGGCAUGCUGCGCGAAGAGGGCGUGACCAUCGGCCGUUUCCGAGUGCGUCGGUUGAUGCGUGAGCUGGGCCUGGUUAGCAAGCAACCGGGCUCGCACGCCUACAAACAGGCCACGGUUGAGCGGCCGGAUAUCCCGAAUCGGCUGAACCGCGAAUUCGCGACCGAGCAUCCCAAUCAGGUGUGGUGUGGCGACAUCACCUACGUCUGGGCGCAAGGCUGUUGGCACUACCUGGCCGCGGUGCUGGAUCUGCAUACCCGGCGGGUGAUCGGCUGGGCGUUCUCGGCCAAGCCGGAUGCCGAACUGGUGAUCAAGGCCCUGGACAUGGCCUACGAACAGCGCGGCAAGCCACAGCAGGUGCUGUUCCAUUCAGACCAGGGCAGCCAGUACGCCAGCCGCCUGUUUCGGCAACGGCUCUGGCGCUAUCGGAUGCAGCAGAGCAUGAGUCGCCGAGGGAAUUGCUGGGAUAACUCGCCGAUGGAGCGCCUGUUCCGCAGUCUGAAGUCGGAGUGGGUCCCGUCAACGGGUUACCUGACGGCGCAGGAGGCCCAACGGGACAUCAGUCAUUACCUGAUGCAUCGCUACAACUGGAUCAGGCCGCAUCAAUUCAACGACGGGUUACCACCUGCGGUGGCCGAAGAAAAACUCAACCCACUGUCCGGGAUGGGUUGACCACUACAGGGGGACCAUCCUCCAAGGCUAAAUACUACUGACUGACCGAUAGUGAACCAGUACCGUGAGGGAAAGGCGAAAAGAACCCCGGAGAGGGGAGUGAAAUAGAACCUGAAACCGUAUGCGUACAAGCAGUGGGAGCCUACUUGUUAGGUGACUGCGUACCUUUUGUAUAAUGGGUCAGCGACUUAUAUUCAGUGGCAAGCUUAACCGUAUAGGGUAGGCGUAGCGAAAGCGAGUCUUAAUAGGGCGUUUAGUCGCUGGGUAUAGACCCGAAACCGGGCGAUCUAUCCAUGAGCAGGUUGAAGGUUAGGUAACACUGACUGGAGGACCGAACCCACUCCCGUUGAAAAGGUAGGGGAUGACUUGUGGAUCGGAGUGAAAGGCUAAUCAAGCUCGGAGAUAGCUGGUUCUCCUCGAAAGCUAUUUAGGUAGCGCCUCAUGUAUCACUCUGGGGGGUAGAGCACUGUUUCGGCUAGGGGGUCAUCCCGACUUACCAAACCGAUGCAAACUCCGAAUACCCAGAAGUGCCGAGCAUGGGAGACACACGGCGGGUGCUAACGUCCGUCGUGAAAAGGGAAACAACCCAGACCGCCAGCUAAGGUCCCAAAGUUGUGGUUAAGUGGUAAACGAUGUGGGAAGGCUUAGACAGCUAGGAGGUUGGCUUAGAAGCAGCCAUCCUUUAAAGAAAGCGUAAUAGCUCACUAGUCGAGUCGGCCUGCGCGGAAGAUGUAACGGGGCUCAAACCACACACCGAAGCUGCGGGUGUCACGUAAGUGACGCGGUAGAGGAGCGUUCUGUAAGCCUGUGAAGGUGAGUUGAGAAGCUUGCUGGAGGUAUCAGAAGUGCGAAUGCUGACAUGAGUAACGACAAUGGGUGUGAAAAACACCCACGCCGAAAGACCAAGGGUUCCUGCGCAACGUUAAUCGACGCAGGGUUAGUCGGUUCCUAAGGCGAGGCUGAAAAGCGUAGUCGAUGGGAAACAGGUUAAUAUUCCUGUACUUCUGGUUACUGCGAUGGAGGGACGGAGAAGGCUAGGCCAGCUUGGCGUUGGUUGUCCAAGUUUAAGGUGGUAGGCUGAAAUCUUAGGUAAAUCCGGGGUUUCAAGGCCGAGAGCUGAUGACGAGUCGUCUUUUAGAUGACGAAGUGGUUGAUGCCAUGCUUCCAAGAAAAGCUUCUAAGCUUCAGGUAACCAGGAACCGUACCCCAAACCGACACAGGUGGUCGGGUAGAGAAUACCAAGGCGCUUGAGAGAACUCGGGUGAAGGAACUAGGCAAAAUGGCACCGUAACUUCGGGAGAAGGUGCGCCGGCUAGGGUGAAGGAUUUACUCCGUAAGCUCUGGCUGGUCGAAGAUACCAGGCCGCUGCGACUGUUUAUUAAAAACACAGCACUCUGCAAACACGAAAGUGGACGUAUAGGGUGUGACGCCUGCCCGGUGCCGGAAGGUUAAUUGAUGGGGUUAGCGCAAGCGAAGCUCUUGAUCGAAGCCCCGGUAAACGGCGGCCGUAACUAUAACGGUCCUAAGGUAGCGAAAUUCCUUGUCGGGUAAGUUCCGACCUGCACGAAUGGCGUAACGAUGGCGGCGCUGUCUCCACCCGAGACUCAGUGAAAUUGAAAUCGCUGUGAAGAUGCAGUGUAUCCGCGGCUAGACGGAAAGACCCCGUGAACCUUUACUGUAGCUUUGCACUGGACUUUGAGCCUGCUUGUGUAGGAUAGGUGGGAGGCUUUGAAGCGUGGACGCCAGUUCGCGUGGAGCCAUCCUUGAAAUACCACCCUGGCAUGCUUGAGGUUCUAACUCUGGUCCGUGAUCCGGAUCGAGGACAGUGUAUGGUGGGCAGUUUGACUGGGGCGGUCUCCUCCUAAAGAGUAACGGAGGAGUACGAAGGUGCGCUCAGACCGGUCGGAAAUCGGUCGCAGAGUAUAAAGGCAAAAGCGCGCUUGACUGCGAGACAGACACGUCGAGCAGGUACGAAAGUAGGUCUUAGUGAUCCGGUGGUUCUGUAUGGAAGGGCCAUCGCUCAACGGAUAAAAGGUACUCCGGGGAUAACAGGCUGAUACCGCCCAAGAGUUCAUAUCGACGGCGGUGUUUGGCACCUCGAUGUCGGCUCAUCACAUCCUGGGGCUGAAGCCGGUCCCAAGGGUAUGGCUGUUCGCCAUUUAAAGUGGUACGCGAGCUGGGUUUAGAACGUCGUGAGACAGUUCGGUCCCUAUCUGCCGUGGACGUUUGAGAUUUGAGAGGGGCUGCUCCUAGUACGAGAGGACCGGAGUGGACGAACCUCUGGUGUUCCGGUUGUCACGCCAGUGGCAUUGCCGGGUAGCUAUGUUCGGAAAAGAUAACCGCUGAAAGCAUCUAAGCGGGAAACUUGCCUCAAGAUGAGAUCUCACUGGGAACUUGAUUCCCCUGAAGGGCCGUCGAAGACUACGACGUUGAUAGGCUGGGUGUGUAAGCGUUGUGAGGCGUUGAGCUAACCAGUACUAAUUGCCCGUGAGGCUUGACCAU
rnacentral:rRNA from 1 species